UUCAGCGGGUUCACCUUUCGAGCGAAACCGCCUUUCCCCUGCGGCUAACAUGCACUUUACCAACAGGGGAUAUACAGACCCAUACCAACCCAUAUAGACCUAUAACGCCUUCCCCUGCGGGCUAACAGAGCACAGUGUUACCAACAGGGGAUAUACAGACCCAUACCAACCCAUAUAGACCUAUAACGCCUUCCCCUGCGGGCUAACAGAGCACAGUUUACCAAACAGGGAUAUACAGGACCCAUACCAACCCAUAUAGACCGUAUAAACGCCUUCCCCUGCGCUAAUCAGGCACAGUUUUACCAACAGGGAUAUACAGACCCAUACCCAACCCAUAUAGACCUAUGACGCCUUCCCCCUCGCUAACAGAGCACAGGUUACCAACACGCGGAUAUUACAGA
rnacentral:lncRNA from 1 species